rnacentral:rRNA from 1 species
AUUGAACGCUGGCUGCAGGCCUAACACAUGCAAUUCGAGCGGAACGGCGGACGGAUGAGUAAUUCCUAGGAAUCUUCCUGGUAGUUGGGGAUAGCGUCCUGAAACGAGCGCUAAUACCUCAUACUUUCCGAUGAACCUAGGUCGGUUUGGCUAGUUGGUGGGGUAAAGGCCUACCAAGGCGAUGAUCCUUAACUGGUCUGAGAGGAUGAUCAGUAACACUGGAACUGAGACACGGUCCAGACUCCUACGGGAGGCAGCAGUGGGGAAUAUUGGACAAUGGGCGAAAGCCUGAUCCAGCCAUGCCGCGUGUGUGAAGAAGGUCUUCGGAUUGUAAAGCACUUUAAGUUGGGAGGCGUUACCAACAGAAUAAGCACCGGCUAACUUCGUGCCAGCAGCCGCGGUAAUUC